UCCACGCAGUAAACGGUGAUCACUAGGUGUUGGGGGUUAUUGAUACCUUCAGUGCCGCAGCUAACGCAUUAAGUGAUCCGCCUGGGGAGUACGGUCGCAAGAUUAAAACCUCAAAGGAAUUGACGGGGGCCCGCACAAGCGGUGGAGCAUGUGGUUUAAUUCGACGCAACGCGAAGAACCUUACCUAGGUUUGACAUCCGCGGAAUUUUGUGGAAACACGAAAGUGCCCCUUU
rnacentral:rRNA from 1 species